UGGGGAAUAUUGCGCAAUGGGGGAAACCCUGACGCAGCGACGCCGCGUGCGGGAUGAAGGCCUUCGGGUUGUAAACCGCUUUUGAUUGGGAGCAAGCUUUCGGGUGAGUGUACCUUUCGAAUAAGCGCCGGCUAACUACGUGCCAGCAGCCGCGGUAAUACGUAGGGCGCAAGCGUUAUCCGGAAUUAUUGGGCGUAAAGAGCUUGUAGGCGGUUCGUCGCGUCUGGUGUGAAAGCCCAUCGCUUAACGGUGGGUUUGCGCCGGGUACGGGCGGGCUAGAGUGCAGUAGGGGAGACUGGAAUUCCCGGUGUAGCGGUGGAAUGUGUAGAUAUCGGGGAGAACACCAAUGGCGAAGGCAGGUCUCUGGGCUGUUACUGACGCUGAGAAGCGAAAGCGUGGGGAGCGAACAGG
rnacentral:rRNA from 1 species